GCCGCUCUCCGUCGCCGGGCCCUUCCCGCCCGGGGAGCGCUCCGCCGCUUCUCUCGCUCGCUGCUGCUGUUGCUGCUGCGCGGGCUCCAUCGCCCGCGGGGCCGGGGCUGCCGCCGCCCUCCUGCCGGGAGCGCCGCUCGGCCGGCGCUGGGAGGGGGGAGCCCGAGCGGGGCGAGGCGCCGCGCCCCGGGAACGAGGGGGGGGGCUCAGGGCGCAGCGUUCCGCCGCUGCCCCCGCGCCGCGCACCCGCCUCAGCCCCGCUCCCCGGCCGUCGCCAGCGCCAUGAGGGAGGCGGGCACCCAGCGAGCCCGGCGCCGCGCCCGCCCGCGCCUCAUGAAUAUGAAGUGGCCCCGCCGCUCGGGGGAGGCGGCGCGAUGUGACGGCACCGCUCGCGCGGCGGGGCGGGGCCUCGCCCGUAAACACCGAGUGACGGCAACAUGGCGGAGCGCGGUGCUGCUGGGGAGCGUAGUCCGCAGCCAUUCCCCACACAGCACGGAGACUACAAGGCCCGGCGGCCAGCGCUCCUCGCCUUCCCGCCUUCUGCUCUCUCCUCAGGAGAGCGCUGCCAUGACUACACUACCCCCAUCCCAUCCUGCCUGCAUAUAAAGUUGCUUUAAGUGAAUGGCUGAAAUGGUCUCUUUGCUGACAUGCCUCGAGCAGAAUCAUUGAAGAGGUUGGGCAGAAGAGACCCUGGAGGUCAUCAUUCUGGGAGCACCAAGGUGAGAUCACAUUGCCCAGAGCCUGGUCGUACACAAGGCACAAGUCAGGCAGGGCUCUGCAGGCUGAAAUUAGCAGCCUGACUCACAGGACAAAAAACUCAUAGUCAAUGAGAUGGCUGCUGAAUGCGCAUUACAACAGAUUGUCAAACACAGAACUAACCAAGGGCUCCUUUCUUUCAGGAGCUGAGGAAUAGAAAUCAUUUAUGACAUUUCCAAUCUAUGUCCUCUCAGGAGAAUAAAGGUGACCACAGAGGAUGAAACCACUGGUCUUGCCAGCAAUGUCCUGCUGAAGGAGGCUGUGACCGCAGCACGCCAAGGGGACAUGCAAGCAGUACGGCAGCAGGCAGUGUGGGACAAGCAGCUCUAGAAACCUUUCCCAAAACUGCCACAAUGGGAUGCUGGCUUCUCCCCAACAGCCCAAGAGUGUAAAUCCCUUCCAGAGCCCUUGUUUAUUUUUAUGUAUGCAUUACGAGCCCUCCAGCCCUCUUUCAAAUCCUGCUAAGCUUUUGGUUGUGGUGACACUCAAGAGGAAUGGAUUCCACUGAGUAAUUGCACGCCACGCAAACAUUUAUUUCCUUUUUAUCAGUUUUAAAUGCAUUCCUUUUCAAUGUAAUUGAACGUUCCCUUGUGUUUAUACUGUGAAAGCGAAACCAGCAGCAUGUGUUUAUGAGGGCAUUUGCUGGACAGAGGCUGAGCCUGGCUUCCCACAGCUCCAAGCCGGGGGAAAUCACACAGAGAAGAAUAAGCAGAUCAAUGGUUCGGUUUAAAUCAAACUCAACAGCAAUUUGCAACAAAAGGAAAAUCUUAUUCUCGAGUAUUUUCAUAGGAAAAUUAGUCCUUAUAACAGAAAAAAGAUUAUUAUUUUUUUAAUUUUUUUUUUUCUAUUUUCCAUUCAGGGAUGAUUUCAUACACUUCCUCCUCUCUUUAAGGGAAGAAUCAAGCAAACACCCUCACCCUGGCCCUUUGUUCCAGCUGGAAAACACACUCAAGAACACCUCUUACUAAAGGGGCUAAUUAAGCACAUGAUCCCUUUUCCCUUCUCAUAAAAGCUGCUGGAAAGCAACCCGAGCAGUGUCCUUAUUACAGCUGUGCCCAGAAAGCUCCUUCCUUGGCAGGGAAGGGCACUUGUGAUGGCAAGACGAGUCUGUUUCCACAUUCCCUGAUGCGCUGGGGUGGCAUCACACCUUUACACACUGCUUUACCAGGGAACAGCAACAUGGGCAGGAGUGUUUAUUUUUGGUGUCACGACAUUUCUGCAGAUGUUACAGGCUCAAUUAUCCCGCCGCUUCAGCCGUAACAUCGCAUUUGUCUCUAAGCUCCAUUUAUUUGGCUGAAACCCUCUAGUUGGAAGACGCUGCCUUCUGUAAGCUGGAGCUUCAGCACGGUAGAGCUUGACAGCUACCUUUGGUAAGGAAAUUUAUCUUUUUGGAUUGAUUCCACAGCACAGCUACAAAUCGCGUUUGGCAAACAGUUGAACAAAACAAGCUUCUUAACACGGAGUAAAAUAUACCUGCUCAUUCUUAGACUAUCCAGUGCUUUAAGGCAGGCUCAUUAGUCACAAAGAAUAAGUCAGCAUUCAGAUAAACGAUGCUUCUGCAAAGCAGGAGAAGCAUUCAGCAUCACCACGGGAAAGGUGAGUGUCACUGGGUGUCGGGAAACAACACAGCACAUCCCACAGCUCCUGAGUCACAGCUGGGAAAUGCAGCACAGCACUUAUUCCGUUCUGAGGUCGACCGUGACGAGCUGUGUUGGAGUGGUGGGUGACCUUAAGAAAUGGGGAUCGCUUCCCUCAUUUUGACUUCCUGCUUUUGCCAACUUCAUAAGCACACCAUGGUCACCAUUCUUUCCUGUAUCACCUUGUGGAAGAGAACUGCACGUCCAUAAUAUGUAUAACAUAAACAUUUUAAACACUUUCUGAGCAGCACACGUAAUGUAGUGUAAAUGAAAUUGAAAAUAACUAGGGAUAAUGAGCCGAGCAAAUAAUAUAGAAACCAGCCAAAUGCUAAGCCAAGCAAGGUAAAGCAAACACUUCAAGAGAGCUGAAUCAUUUGCCUUUAAAAUCUACCUGAACAUGGAAAUACAUCUCUCUCAUUUCCCCUGCUUUAUGAGCGCACGUAUACGCGGGUUGGUAAGAAAGCAGGAGCUGCCGCUGUACCGCAUUGCCACCUAUAGCGAGAUGUGGCACCUUUCUGCUAUUUCUUCACAGAAAUUCAGCAGAACGACAAGGAGAGGAGACACAUUAAAGUUUUAUUCCAUUCGUGGCAGUAUUCUCCAGAGGAAACAGUAAUAAAUUCCCUACAGUGUGACUGUCUAAAUAGAUUAUCCAACAAUUAUUAUUAAUUAUUAAUUAUCCAGUGACUCAGAAGCCACCCCGCGGCUGUCUACUGCAAGAAUCCUACAGCUUUUGCAACCUAAUGAUAUGAUUUUCCAAAUUACGAUGUCGCAAUGCUACGCCAUAUGAAAGGUUAAUGGGAGACGGCGUGAUGAAGUGAUACGAAUGUCUAAGGUUGUACUUGGACUUCCUGGCAGCAGGUUGUGAAAAAGCAACCCGAGCAAAUUCAGUGGAAAACCAGUUAACAUACAGAUUAUUACAAGGACUGAAAUGGGAGUUGAAGGCAUUUUAAAGGGUCUGCAGAGGGAUUUGUGAAAAUACCUUAAAAUAGUGCAGUAGGUGAGAACAUCUUUUUCUCUUCUGUUACCCAAGGGCACUUCUUCCAACCCAGCGUCCAAGUGGCCAGGCUGAGAGCUGUAAUUCACAUUAUCUAUGCACAUCCUCGGCUGCCCAUGUUUACCACACAGGAAAACAAGAUUGAUUUCUCAUUCUUAAGCACAUUUGUAACGUCUGUGCAAAUGAAUGUAGGACACAUCCCAGUAAGAUCAAUAUUUAUGCAGCCUACUUUGGAAAGAACAAGGGAGUUGCUUCAGCGCGGCAGGGGACCUACUCAUUGGCUUUCCUGCAGUUUCCUCUUUUCCUCUUUUUCCACACAAUUUGCCUGCUGGGUGCUCGCUGCUGAUUAAAAGUAGUGCUAAUGAAGGGACACCCCCAGGCCACCUGGAGCAGUGGGACCCCAUAAGGCUGCACAGCCACAUACAGCGCCCAUAGCUCCUGUCCACAGCUUCCUCCAGCCCCAUCCAUCUGCUUCUCUGUGGCUCACGGCUGCUCACACUUCAUGCCACUUGCAAAAGAGCAGCAAUCAAUUAUCCUAAUUAAAUGCAACGAUGGAAUAUUGAAUACCGGGGUUUAUUUCCUGCUCUAAAGGUUCACGUCUUUCACAUGCGCUUUCCCCGUGUUGCUUGUCGCAGCUGAUCUUGUGCAUUAAUUCUGUGUUAUAAACAGAGAGGGGAGAGUGAGUGGUACCUGCAAUAAAUCAAAAGGCAGAAAGGAGGCAUUAAAACAUGCCAACCUUUCCACAGCGUGCCAGUGUUUAAAAGCAUCCCCAGCAGCAUUUUUUCCAGCUCUCAUGUCCCUGGCUCGUAGGAGGCUGCAGCUUCACCAGUUGCUGGCAGAAGGUGGCCUCUAUGAAUUGUCUUCUUUCCGCCCUAUUUAUCAGGAGACUUUUUUAACCCUGACUGGAAUAAAGUUAGAGGCCGUCAAGCUCACCUGCUGCCAUGGGUUUCUGCUGAGCUGUAUGUGUCUUUAAAAAUGAACUGGAGUUCAAGAUCAGCAGCUUCAUAGCAUCCAUACCCUCUGAUUCACGGAGCUGGUUUAAUGCUCCAUCCCAUAAAGCACACCUUGCAGAUAUAAAACCCAUUCACAGCAAGCGUUAAUUCUUUUUCCAAGGGGCUCCGCCAUGAUUCUAGCACUACAAACUCCAGGUUAUUAACGAGCCUUCAUUUCCAUGGCUGUACCACCGAAAUGCAGCAUUGGCAAAUAGAGCAUUGAAUGCCUCUGCUGUAAAUAGUUCAAUUUUCCUGAGUAGCUAACUAGGCAAUAAGAGCCCUGUCACUUCCAUGUUGACAAAGUAUCUUCGUUACUAAGUAACUAUAGAGAUGUUUCUCUUCUUCUUGACGUAAUUACAAAGUGCCUUUCAUUAGCUCCUGAAAACGCUCAGGCUCAAAGCAUAAUUCCUACAACACGCUUCCCUGUUUGCAGGGAAUGCAACUUACGGUGACCUAUAUCAGCUAAGAAGAUUUCCUACUUAUUUCCCAGCUCCUAUAGCCCCUUACAACCAGGCUGAGAAAUCUGCAGCCAUCUCCCAGACCGCCAGCUCAGCCCCCACUGGUUUUGCUGUCUAUAUAGUUUCAACAGAUAAUUUUUCCUCAAUGUUAGGUGACGACAGAGGCUCCACCACCUCCCAGACAUGCUGUCCUCCACCCCGCUGCCCCGACUGGCUGUACAUGUUAGAUUUUCCCCCAGUGACCAGCCUGAAACUUCCUCACUGCCUCAUAGGCAGAGAAGGGCAAUUCCAUUCCUCUCUUUGGCAUGUUGCAAUGGCCUUCUUUCCUCCUUCAGGCAGACAACAGCUCAAGGCAGCUUUGCUUGUCCUCCAUCACAUCUUACAGAUGACUGCUUGCAGCUCGGACUUUGUUAGCCGGGUCUCCAGGUAUCCGAGGUCAGAGUAUAGCUGCCAUCCUGCAAAUAACUGACUCCUGUAUGGCUGCCAACGCACAAAUAGCUAACUUCUGUACAACCUCCUCUGCCUUCCUCGCUAGGGGCACCUGCCCUCAUUCUUUUGCCAUUGCUGUUAAUUGCAUCAUCUACCCACAGGCAGCUGAUGCUUCAGGGAAAGGAAGUCAAACAUGAAAAGCGCUGGGCGUCCCUCCCACCAAAAGGAAAGCAGCCAAAGAUCUCCCAUUUCAGCCCAUUUAUCCACCAUUACUGCCUGUACGGCUGCUCUGUGGCUGCUGGCAGUCCCGAUGCCCCAUGCUAGUGGCACCUGGUUUCCACCUCAACUCUUCUCCCACUCCUGUGCACUGUGGCUAUGCUUGGCACCAUCUCACCAGCUCGGUGUGUAUUCUGCCCACUCUGACCGCCUGGGCUGGAGAUGGAUGAGGACAACAGCUAAAGGGAGCAGGAAGGGGCAGCAAGCUCUGGGGCCACCCACAAGCCCAGCAAUCAACCAGCCAGUUCCAAAGAAAUCCACCUUUUCUUCCUUCUCUUUGGAUGACAAACAAAAAAGAAACUUACAUCAAUGCGGAGCUGCUCUCUUCCUUGUUUACAGAGAUCCCUACCUGCAGGCAAUGGCAGACUGUAAGCCCUGUCACAUGGCUGCAAGCCUGAAGGGAUUGUGCCAGGCCCUUGCAGAGCGUGCAGUGAGUAGUGCCACUACUCCAUCUCUACACCCCUCUUUACUCCAGUUAGUAUCACCGGCAAAAAAUAAAUAGGAAAGAAUGUUUAUCAGCCUAUGGAAGAUUUGUCCCAUUUGCUUCAGCCUACACCUAUCCAUGGAGUUAAACAUUUAUUGACCCCUGUGCAAGUGCAGCCAGAGAGCUGAACUAAAGCUGAACGCUUCCAAAAAGAAGCCAGCUUACGCUGCCAGAAGAUGUGGUGCUCAAAGGAAAUUAAGAUGAGCAAGAUUGCAAAACUGGGAUGCCUGCACUUGCAAAUUCCUUGCAACAGGUCCAACAAUUACCUGCCUGGUGCUGUUGUUUUACCUUUUGCCUACCACUGGGUAUGUAGUUAAGCUCAUUCAAGUGUGGCACUGAGUCACCUCAUUUGUCUGCAGCUAGUUAUUGGCCAUUAUAAUAACAAUAGUGUGAUACAUGCGAAAGCACGCCAGUAUCAUGUGGAUGCCUUCUUCCUGGAAGCAUUCAAGGCCAGGCUGGAUGGGGCUUUGAGCAACCUGGUCUAGAGGGAGGUGUCCCUGCCUAUAGCAGGGGUUUGUAACUAGGUGAUCUUUGGUUCCUUCUAAACCAAACCAUUCUAUGGGUCUAUGAUCCUAUGAUCCUACAGUCCUAUGAUUCUGCGACCAUGGUGGCUGUAUUUGGUAUUCUGUCCAGCUGCAGCAUCACCCAACAAGAGCCUGGUUGCAAAACACUCGUGGUUGAAUUCAGAGCAAUCUGAGGGGCAGAGUGGAAAGCUCAACCACAUGCAAACUCACCUGCAUUGUGCUUUCAUCCUCCUUAAAUGCAGAUGAGCAGAGCCCAGGGAUUUUUUCUUUCCAUCCAGAUUGGAUUUGGGAAUAAAUGAUGUGUGAUCUUCCUCAGGGACUGGGACUGGGACUGAUGCUCUUUCAUAUCUUCAUGGCCAGUGGGAUCAAGUGCACCCUUAGCAAGUCUUCAGAUAACACCCAGCUGUGCGGUGCAGUCAACAUGCCAGAGGGAAGGGACCCUUCUGUCUGAGACAGACAGACCCAAUCACACUCAAGCAGAAAGCCCAGGAGAACUUAAUGAUGUUCAGCAAAGCCAAGUGCAAGGUCCUACACCCGGGCCCCAGAAACCCCUGCUAUCAGUACAAGCUCGGGGAAGAAAGGAUGGAGCACAGCCCUGAUGAAAAGGACUUGGGAGUACUGGUGGAUGGGACAUGAGCUGGCAGUGUGCCCCCACAGCCCAGAAAGCUGACUGUAUCCAGGGCUGCAUCAAGACAAGCGUGGUCAGCAGGGCAAGGGAGGUGCUCCUGCUCCUAUACUCUGUGCUGGUGAGACCUCACCUGGAGUACAAAUCCUGGUCGCAUCUUCCUCUGGCACUUGGUGCUGCUGCUAAGAAACAUUCAGAUCUCAGGUUCUGAGAAGAGUUUUUUGCCAGGUUUUUAAGAAAAGUAAAUACAUGGAGAGAGAAAAGUAAUUAUAUGUAUCAUAUAGAUAUGUCUAUGUGAGACGAUCACAAAUUCUUGCUGAUGAUUUACUGUCACGAAAAGCAGAACGAGUGUCAGCACUGUCUCCUGUGAAUACCCUGGAUGAGAUCUUAAAUCACAAGAUUUUGCCUUUCAAAUGUUCCUCAUUGCAGCAAGCCCCGUGUUUACCAAGAAACAUCAGCUAUAAAGAGAGCAGGCUCUGUUUGCUGCAGCAGUAUACCUAGAGCAAUUGUUUUGUGGUUUUGGAAAAUCCCUUGCUGUUUUCCCUGUAUAUCUGGAGAACAAUUCCUUCUUGCCAAGACAAAAGGAGACAAAAGCUCAGUCUAUCCUAGAACCACGCUGUAUGCUUAACUCAAUUAUAGAGAUCUGAUGUACAGCGCCAGGGCUGCAGACAAGAUGUGAAACCUCACGGCCUCUCUCAGGAUUGAGGACAGCUCCUGGCUCAGCUUUUGUUGCAGUAAUGCACGGAGCCCUGGCACGGAGCACAAACUAAGAUUCAUUGAUAGCAGUUUCAGCUCCAGGGGCAAGGAAAAGUCACAUCAGAACAAUACACUUCCUGCCCUCACAGAUCAUUCUACCCACUCAACCCCAGAGCCAGGCUCUCUUUCCACCAGAGCUGCCUUGCAAGGGUCUGGCAGCGUCUUCUCUCCCGCAGAAGCAACCAGGUGGUCACAGCGGGACGUGCUGCCCUGCAUUGCAUGAAUGGGCCCUGGGAGCCCCUGACAUAUAGGGAGAAAAGCAGGACUUAGUGUCCUACCCCAGCAGACAGCAGGUAUUUGUUAGCAAGUGUUCCUCAGCCUAUGACAGGCAGAUUAAUCUUGAUGUAAAACAAAUUAAAACUCUUUAAUCUCUGUCAGGAUGGUUUCUGUGGUGCUCACACAGGUAACGUAUGGAGUUUUUAGUGGCCUGGGCACGCUUUGCUACCUGAAAUCAAUUAGUCAGAGUUCCUUGAUCUUCAGCAUGGGAUCCUGCCAUUGCGCAACUCUGGAAAAACCUCCCGUUGCACAAUAAUAUUUGGUGUCACCUCCAUCUACAAUACAACCGUGCAAUCAAGGUGUAUUGCGAGCAGCGGCCUAUUUGUACAUCACACAUACCUCUCCCUGCCCGCCUGCGUACAGCUGCACAUACCAAACACUGCCUGCCUGCUGGGGCAAACAGUGGGCAACCCUCCUUUCUGCACGGGGUGAGGUGUGUGAGGAAAAUGAGGUCAGGAGCUGAAGUUUGUCCCUGGCCACCCUGUUACGUAUAUAACCACCAGCGGGGAGGACAUUUCACAUAGGGAAAAGAUGACUGGCCCUUGCCCCGAAAGACUUCAACCCCACACAUUCCCUGCCCCAAGCGAACCUUUCAGAAGAAAAUAUGAAUCACCGCACAGUGAUUUGACUCCUUACACCAUCCCCUACUCAAUAGGGAUGGCCAUCGGACCACGUCAUCUUACAGAUACGUAUGGACCAGCCCUCACCUCAGAGCUCUCACAAGUGGCCCUUCUCAAGGCAUCCAAGCUCUUACUCCCACCGAAACCAGAAGGAAGAAUUCAGCCUUGAAGAUCUGGCUUAAACAAAGCAGGAGAUGACCACACAACAGGUUGCAUAGUGGUGGAGAAGACGGCAAUCCUGAUGUCUCCUGAGUCCUGGCCUUCUGCUCCUUAUGCCCAGGCUCAUGCCAGAAUGUUUAAUCUCCCAGGAGCUUACGCUAAGAUUGCUGUGUUUGUUUAAAUUUUAAAAUGAAACCUAAUCCCCUACAGGGAAGCCUACAUCACCGGUUGUUUUUCUUCCCCCAGCCCGGCCCAGAGGCAAACAACCCCACAACUUCUCUGCAGAUCUGCUGCCACAGAGGACGUGAAAUAUGAUUUUCUUGGUUGUUUUUUGUUGUUUGUUUUUUUUUUAAUCCCCUUUAUUGAUUUUUUUUCCUGGGUUCAUGAAAGGUUCACAAUGGAGAGUGAUGGUCCCGUGGGUAUGACUAUCCAUUUUAAGUGCCUUAUUUUGCUUUAAAGCAUUGGAGGGUGGGCUGCAAUAAGAGUAUGGUCAGAAAUGCCCGAGGGCUUGUUCCUGCCCAAGAGGCCCCCACCAUUUUCACUUAAAACACGCUUUUGACCUGAUUUAGUUAGAGCAGCAGAGAGGGCAGCAGCCAUUUUACCUCAGCAUGGCACAUUCAUUUCACAGAACUCAGAGGGAUUGCGCUCCACCAUCGGUGGAGGGAAGGACACUUCCUUCAGGUCCUACCAUCCCAUUCCUAUCUGUGACCAUCUGAUUUGUUUUCUGGACACCAAGAGGUUGGGCUCCAUCCCCAGUGUGUGUGUCACAGGGAUCUUCUGGCCAUUGAACCUUGGGGACCAGGGCCAGAUUUUGGAGAGGGCAGGGCUCCUGCCAGCACUGGGUGGCAAGCGGCCACGUAAGGUCAUGUUUUGGCCACCACAGAAAGCAGACCCAGGAGCUGAGUGUGGGUGUGGACCUUGACCACCCGCAUAGCUGGAACAUUACCCGCCCAGUUGCCCUGCUCCACAUCUGCUGGAGAUGUGACCUGGUUUCCAAGCCACCUCCUGGCUCUUGGUCGCGACCCUUUCGGUGACCUCGUUCUUGGAAGUGGUUAGGGCACGUAAACUGGAACGGGAAAGGGGAAAAGGUGAACGUACUGACAGAAGACUUGCAGCACAAGGAACCUAUCUGACAGCUUCAGCCUAAAGAAAUGCCACGUGGUGACCUUACCAUGUCCCACUGGACUUGCUCUAGUGGGUCAAUGCCCCUCUUGUAUUCAAGGAGCCUGUAACUGGACACUAUAUGCAAGAUGUGGCCUCACUAACGCCAUUUGUAGAUGCAUUUUCCACACAGAUGCUCGCAGUUUGUUUGAGGUGGUAUAUUCUAACUGCUUUUAAUAAAUUUAACGGAUUUUCUCAUCUACAUAUGCUGCAGACUAAUGCCAGGCAUAUGAUAUUUAAAAGGACCCUUCCACUGACCCCACAAGGCUACACCCAUCUUAUCUGGUUUCUAAUCCUGAGAGAUACAAGGCUCUGGGACAACCUUCUACUGAGAGAAGAACACAACCCAGCCUAAUUACCUCCAUAAAGGAGCUGUGGUAGUCUAUAAGCUUACGGGAGAGGUGAGCAAUGAUAGAGGCUGUGCUUUCUGACCCAGGAAGGCUCUUCCUUCCUGCAGAGGCAGCCUCAUUGCCACUGUGCUUCGAAUCCCCUGCUCUCAAGGUCUUGCCGGACAGCCCUUGGAUAGGCAGGAUGUCCUACAGCCGAACUGUACCUUGGCAAAGCUGCUUAGUAUUCAUCCUUUGGGGCCCAUUUCUGUCUAUCCUACAGGGCAAGGGCAAUUCACGAGGAAGAAAAGGCAUCUUAUAAAACAUAAAGUGUUUUGUUGGCUCCUUCUUUUUUUUUCCCAAGGAAGCCUAGAAGGCAGUGACAAGAUGCAUGAAGAGACUGUUUAUGUGGACAAGCAGCAUGGCCUAUUUAAGAGCCAAGUGAAAGAGUCAUUAUUCUGGACUCCCAUUCUGAUGUUAACCAAAAAUAAAAAAUGUCAGGAUUUGGCAAAAAGACCACACACAGUCAAGGAAGCGGCGCUGGCAGCAGGGAGGUGAGGCGAGCAAUGGGCUCUGAAUGGGAGGCCAAUGAAAGUUGAGUUUCCUGCUUGAGAAAACAUCGACCCGGCGCUUCCAGGAGCAAUUGACACAAGCAGAAAGCACUGAAACACUUGUGCGAGGCAGAGCAGCUGAGUACAGAAGUGAAGCCAAUUACUGCUGCGGUCGGUUCCCCCUUCAGAGUAGUUGUGCACAGUGAGGGGUAGAACUGUCCUGGAUUUCAGGCCAGCCAGUCACACAGCUUAUAUGGCAGCCCUACGUGGCACCUCGGGCUGGGUGCACAGCGGAGUUGCCCUUAUCUGCUGUAGUGCAGUUUGGUGGGUCUAAGGCAGGGGAUGAAUUUGUUCUGGCGUUGAUUUCAGGGUGGAAGCCUCAGCAGAGCAAACACAGAGCAGUUCAUGCAGCCAAAUGACCCGGCCCUCCACCACCAUUUGCUCCCUCUGCUUUCUGGCAAGUUCCUGCAACGUUUUUCUGAGCCGGAGGCCAGAAUUUCUCAAGCACCUAAAAUCAUGCUCUGUAAUCAACCUGGCUUGAUUGUAAUUGCUGGAUUUCUAAUACCAGACCUGCACGCUAUAGUUGUUCAGCCCUCCGGUAACAAAGGUCCUCGGCAGAGCAGUGGUGACUCAGCACACCGCUGCCCCAUUUGGCACAAUUCAAGCCUGGAUUCCCUCCAGUGGGGGGGAUACAUGCUAUGACUCGUGCUUAGCAAAUAACUCAGUGCUCUCACCCCACCUUCCCCACCUUUUCCCCGGGACCACAUUGAGAACACAGCCGUGUACCCACAUACUUACAAAGAGGACUGAUUCCAGAGCUCCACCCCACAGCCCCAUGCCCAUCUUUUAUAGGGGCACAGAUGUAGCCCUGGGCUUCUAACCCACAUCUUCCACCUUUCCCUCAAACCAAAUGUCCGCCGUGGACAGCAUGAUUUGUGACUCCAGCCUAGCAGUACCUCUGUUUACAAUGCACACAAAAGGGGACAGAAGUAUCUCUGUGUCUCAUAGAGAUGGAAUUAUAAUUAAUUCCAGAGGAUUCCUAAGUGCACGGAUAAUUUGGUCUUUAGGAGUAUUUAACGUGCUGUAGCUACAACCUUGAAGCACUAUUUGGAAACCUAAGCAGGAAGAAAAGCCCCGCAUGGAUGUUUCCCCAGGAGUGCAGCACAAGGUGAGUUUCCACAGGAGCAGGACAGGGCAGGCUAUGAGCACCGCCCUCCCCAUGGGCACUUGGUACCUUUGCCCCUUGAUCCGGCUGCGAAGGACAUGAGAGGGGUGUGGUGAAGGAUCUCCAUGCUGAUGCCAGCUCUGAAGGCAAUGUCCCACAGUCUGGGUUUCACACGUUUACACAGAGCACUCAGACACACCAGUGGUGGGGCUGGGAGGUCACUGUUGAGCCCCCCAAGCUGUGCCAGGGACAUGGUUUAGUGGGGAAUAUAGGUGGUAGGUGGGUUGUUAGACUGCAUGACCUUGUAGGUCUUUUCCAACCUCAGUGAUUCUGUAAUUUCACCUAAACCCUACAACAGGCAGAGAGCACAGCUCCACUCCCCUCUGAUGCCUCCUGCCCCAGAGACAGGGCUGGACCUUGUCUCCUCACCACCGUUAAUGCUCAACACAUGUGAAAAGGCAAGGCCAGUCUGCUUGGUGCUGGGAAGUAAAUGAACCAGGGGAGUGAACUCAUCCCUAAUUGCACUGCCUGAACUUUUAGAGCUCUAAGAGCCAAAGCAUGACAUCAUCCUAAUGUGACACGAUAACAAUGCAGAAAAAUGAUUGCAAAAAUGAACAGAUAACUCUGAGACAAGACUUACAGCCAUGUUAACAGUGACAUCCAGCAGCAUCAGAGCUGAAAGUGAGGGUUUGGAGGUUGACCCCAUUGCUCCACUGGAAGCAAGCAAUGCAGGACAUGGUAGAGAUGGAUGUGGUUUGAGGCCAAAAAUGAGAAGAUGAGACCCAACAUAGCCAGCACUGUGAAACUGGAGAUAAACAGGUGAAUAAUGUUGUUUUUCAUUUGGAUAACUGUGGUAACAUUUGCUCACCCCUGGUGCUACCCAAGGCCCCACCUGUGAGCACCUGACCAAAGUCAUUAUGCUCUUAAGAGACGAAGCAAAGGGCAGGCAAAAUCUUACACUGAGAACCAGCACCUUGUAGGCUGAUAACACCUCAGACAGGUAAAAACUCACUCAAAACCCAUCUGCAUCCACAUCUGUAUGUCGGUGCCAUGGGAUCAUUGCCCCUCGUUGUCUCAGAGAGGGAAAGAUGACGUUAUAGAUCCCAUGCAAUGACAAACACUGGAAAAUGAGUUUUCAACUGAAAUGAUUUUAUCUGUGAAUUACAUCUAUGUGUUUUGCUUUCUCCGAUACAGCAGUGAAACCCGCCCUCUUUCACCUGUCCUUGCUCCCUCAGGCUCAAAUGUAUUUUAAUAGGUCUCAAAUGAGCAGCAAAAUACAUAACCGCAUGGUUUAAUAGCUUCCGUACUGCUACAGAAAUACUUGCAUAGAAGUGUAGCUGGAAAGCCCUGUUUGCUUCACAGCUGGCUAAAUCAGCACUGUGUCAUUCUGACUUUGCAUUUGUUUCAUGACUGAAGGAUGAGAGUAUCUGCUAUGGCAUUUGACCUGAACCUGCCUUAUUUAAGGCAGGUUCACUGACUCUAGUGGCCAUAUUUCAAGCAGCCCCAGUCAGGGAGCCAAUGCAGUGCAGCAUAAGAGGAGCAAUGCAGGGGUACCAGCAAUGCAGGCCCACCCAGGGACCCUUCAGCCACAGCCAGGACUAGGUGUGUAGGCCCAUGGACAAAACAGGGCUGCUAUGCAGGCUAUGGCAGGGGGGUGCAGGCUAUGGCAGGGGGGUGCAGGCCCCAGGAGGCUGGCAGGGCCAUGAAGGCCUGUUAGUGCUCUCCAGCACCAGCUCUUUGAGUUUGGUUGGGUUUUUGUUGGUUUGAGUUUUAUUUUCACAUGAGCUUUGGCUUGUGUUUUCUCCUGUCCAGCACUGAGGAUCCCUGCCACCUCUCCCUCUCCAUCCUCUGAACUCCCACAUUUCCUUUCAUCAAAGGCACGGUCAGCUGUAAUAACAAUCCUGGCACAGACAAAACAGUUACCCAUGGCACAGCAGGCACACACCUCAGCAAAGCAAAGCAGCACUCAGAGCUCCUAAACUGUACAGAAACAGAAUUAAUUUUGCUAAGGGGCUGAGGGCAUUUCCCAGCUCUCGGGUGGCAGCAGGAGUAACCCGGUGUAUUAUGUAGUAUUUCAAAUGUAUUAUUAGUCUCUUCUAAGGCCACAUAAAGUAGCCCCGUGUAGGUUGCAGGAGGCUCCAAAUUCCCAUUAGGUGAAUGAGAUGCUCAGCUGCUCUGUGCUUCAGUGCACAAUUCAGUUACCUUUGUCCCACACAGACUCAAUCACCUACUUACUGAUCUUUGCUAUGAGCCGGAUCCGAGCUCAGAAAUCCAGUGCAGUGUGAAAUUGUCUCACCUUAAGCCUAACCCAGUGCCCAAUGGCAUUUUUUGCUGCAGCUCCCUCCCCCUCCUCACACAUUCCUGCCGUUUUCAUUCAAGGUUUUUAUUUCAUACGGUGACAGAGGCCAAGACAUUUGCACACACGCUUUGAGGUACCUGGGAAUCAUCGUCAGAGCACACCUCACAGCAGAUCUGGACAUCAAGGAGCUACUCGAGUCCCGUGAGGUUUUCACCCGAAGCCCCGCCACUGCUCAGCUGCCCGCUCUCGUGCUGGGGCCUGCGCGUGUCCUGUAAGAGAGCUU